UAUUGUGAACUUUAAAUGGUGGAU
rnacentral:piRNA from 1 species